GGGAAAAAAAUCUAUCCCAUCAGCCGCCGCACGAGGCAAAUCGCCUACAUGGAAAAAAUCCCUUUUGAAAAAAAAACUAUCCCUUCGGAUCCAUGGCGAUGGCGGAGGGCGGAGACCGGAGGCGAUUGAUUCUAGUUCUGGUCAGAUCCGGUCGACAGGUUUCCCCUGCCGGAUCUUGGCGGCGGCGAGUCCCAUACUUGAUGCUGAAGCCACCCAAACUCUGGUUCGCACAACCGCCCAGUCCAAAAUUGGUGAUGUGGGCGCCGCGGUGGUCACACUACAGUUAGAUUUGAACAUCACUUGUGAGGGGCUGAGUUUGUCGGCGCCCAACUCAGAGGAGUCAAUCGGGAAGGAUGGUCCUCAGGCACCGGGCUGGACGAAGAGGUCCGAGUGAGGCAUACACCUCUUGAACGUCCACUUUGAUGGCAGAAUAAGUGACCUGGAGAAAACAUUGACAGGUUGUGCAUAGAAGAAGACUGACACUGUCGUAGUUCCUACAGUCGGAAACAACUUUGAUUCGCUUGGAGAAGCAUAUGACUAUCACAACAUGUAUUCCUGGGAACUUGGGUUUGGAAUUAGGUACGGAAAAAGCAGACUGAACAUUGAGAGAACAAACUGUAUGCAGGAGAUAGUCUGCGGUUGCUCAGUUAGUACUAUUUUUGAUUCACCGUUGGCAUAACAAAACUGAGCUGAUGUACCAGACUUAUGCUUGUGCCAAGAAAUAAAAAAUCUGACACAUUGUUAUUCGUUACAAACAUUUUGCAGGGUCCAAAGAAGAAGCAACACACGGUCUUGUUGAUGUAGGUGCCCAGCGAUGAUACGGGCUCCGGUUAAAAGACAACGGCUAGUACAUAAGCGAGCACAGGACAUCCCACAAUCACUCUCUUACAGGUAAGUAUGGUGAGAAAGUAUACUGGCCUUCACACAGACAUAUCGAUAUAUAUACACGUGAACUUGUUAAGCAGCUCCGUGAAAAUAAUAUUAGCUUCGGCAAGGUGUACAGUAUAAUUUAUACACUCGAUUGCCAUCAUAAAACGUUCUCUUGGAUAUAGCUUUUCGGCGCCACCAAAAAUUGCCUGUAUUGGUGUCGACGAUCACUCUUAAAAUGAAAAGAAUUGGCAUUCAGAAGAUACUUUUGAGGUGUGUUAAAUUUAUUAGACAGCCCGGUAGGAUGAGGUGUUCUAUUUUACUUGAGUAAGGAUCUGGAGUAUUAGUUGUGUUCUUGCAUGCAGCACCUAUUUUUAGCCUAGACUAUUUAUAGAUUGAGAGUGACAUUCACAUGUGAAUUACUUAAUUCGAUAUGUUACACCUUAAGGACGUACUGAAUUCAGUACUUUUACUUAAUUUGGCUUAUUGACUGACCUUGCAUCAGUACUAUAUUUAGCAUCUCAAGAACACUUGUGUAGUUUCUUGGUUUUAAACUUUUAAUCAGCUUCCAUCCACUUCAAAUGUAGUUAAUUGGCCUUAGUUUUAUCAGCAGUCCAUGGUUAUUUGAUAAUUGUUAAGUCUUAUAAUUGAAGUAGCUUUUGUACAGCAUCGCAGCUCUUGUCACACAUGUUCGCUUGAAAAAGCCCUUUUUUUCCUUUGCCUCAUAUUGGCAUAACCUGAACAGUUCACAAAUAGUUCUCCUUGUUCUUGUUGUUUGCUAGUUCUUGCACAUAUAUUAGAUGACUUCUGAGCUGCCAACAAAGCCAAUUUUUUUGUUGGUUAUUUUCUUGGAGAAUGGAUAAGCUGCAUUCAUUUUGCCAAGUCUUUGCUUGCUUGUUCAUGCAAAGAUCUGUUUGCAUGCUGCAUUCAUGCAUGUCAAGACUUUGAAUUCAUUUAUGUGUCUCUUCUCUUCACACGAAUUAACUUCAACCCUUGUCACGGGUUUGACCUAUGUAGUGUCCAGAAAAAAGAUGCCUCACAUUUGUCAUGGGUUUGAUCUGAUGUUUGGUAUAUGAGGCCAUGAACUGAGAUUCCAUUAUUAUUUUUUACUGCUGUUUCCUUUAAUUUUUCGUUUCUUACAAGAAUUUUAGUAUUUGACACUAUGUUUCAGUUCGCGAUGAUUAGAGAAGAUGGUGGAGGAGGCUGCUAGGCUUGCCAACGUGAUGAGAAAGGAACUAAUUAACUCUUAGUUUACUUGAGCUUCUUGCAGAGUGAGUUCUGUUUUCGCGACUAGUUUUGCCACAAUAAAUCCAAGAAUGAACAUUGGGCCCACAUGAAAGCCCAUUUGUUGUUCCUGUAAAACAUAUUCCUUUUUUAUCAUUCACAGAUUCUCCUUGGUUUGCUCUUCGAGUAGAUCAUUCUUUCUCAUGCCGGAAAAUUUAAAUGCCUACUACUACCAUAUUUGUGAAAUGUCUUAAUGUUGUUGUGCUAUAUUUACGAAAUAUUAUACAUCAGAUUGUGCUUAAUACCGCUACAGUUGGAAAAUGUUCGAUGAGCAGUUUCACAUAUGACCAGUUUGAAUGGUUAUACUCAGCUGGGAUUAACCAAAUAGUUAAUCAAUAGCAGGGAUUGCAGGGUUGCUAGGUUGACAAGUAGGGGAUCAACCCAAUCACUGGGUGGAUUAAUUCCACUAGGGGACUGGUUCCCCUAUAACCAAACAAGACCUAUGGUUGCCCUGCAUCUGGUGGAACAUUGUAACAAAGUGGACUUUGCCUUAAACGCGUUGGUAAGUUUCAGAAGUGGUGUUCAUCGUCCUGCACAGUUGGCUUUUCCUGUAGGGUAGGACCGGUGAUGAAAGCGAACACGCCAUUGGAGCAGCAUGCGAGUGAGGUGUACACUAGUGCCCAUGUUAGAGAAGCUUGGCGAGAUACUGUACGAAGCAGGGCAGUACAAGGUUGAACCAGUUUAGCAACGCGUGAAGUACCUAGUGCAGCGGCACCAUCCGGAGAGGCUUGACAAAAUGGUGCAAGGUGGUGUAUGAGGUCACCGUUGAUGGAGGGGUGAUCGGUUUCUAUGCGAGUGUGGCAACUUUGAGCACACGAAAAUGUUGUUCUGUCAUUCACUGAAGGUGCAUAAAAUUUGUUCAAUUGCUUCAUGCCUGUGGUGACGGUGUUUAAUGGAUCAACAUGCGGCAUCUCAAUUAAUGAUGCUAUUCUGGCGCAAGUCAUGGAUUUUAUGGGAGUCACGGAAUCACACCAGACAGGGGUGACAUACCGAAGAAACUGAGGAGGUAGCUGAAAUGCACCAACUGUGGUGUAUGUUGGUCACCGUCGAAAUACGUGUAGAAACCCAAGUAUGGUGCUUCAUGCAGUGCCUCCUACUGAAACAGCAAUCCGGCUGGAGGGGGCAGUUAGGUAGUUAGCUUUGUUUCUAGUGUUGCAUCCAAUUUGUACAAUUUGAUGUUGUCUUGUGAGCUAGUAGGAUUUUCCUAAACCUGUGUACAUUUUACGUAACCGUGUGUCACACGGGAAAUAAGCCACCCCUCGGUGUGGUGAAGUAUUGUGAAAAAUGAUGAUUUGUUAACAAGGCAUGUUCC
rnacentral:rRNA from 1 species